rnacentral:misc_RNA from 1 species
UACGAAGGGUGCAAGCGUUGUUCGGAAUCAUUGGGCGUAAAGGGCGUGUAGGCGGAUUCGCAAGUCAGGUGUGAAAGCCCGGGGCUUAACUUCGGACGUGCGCCUGAAACUGCGGAUCUAGAGUCCUAGAGAGGAAAGCGGAAUUCCACAUGUAGAGGUGAAAUUCGUAGAGAUGUGGAGGAACACCAGUGGCGAAAGCGGCUUUCUGGAUAGUGACUGACGCUGAUACGCGAAAGCGUGGGGAGCAAACAGG